rnacentral:ncRNA from 2 species
AUGGCGAACGGCGAUGAGGCCCGCCAUAACCGCGGAAUUCCCCGCUGACGGUCUCUGUUUCUUG